GAGGCUAUAGCUCAAGGCAUAGAGCGCAUGCUUAGCAUGCAUAGUCCUGGGUUCAAUCCCCAGUACUUCCU
rnacentral:tRNA from 1 species